rnacentral:lncRNA from 1 species
AGACAUGAUGCACAUCUAUCAAGGUCCGCACCCUCCCAUCAUACAUCCUCAGCCUGAUGGAACCUACUCCCGCUACACCACAAGAACUUCCAUCUCCUAGUAUCACUCGCUGCCUCUCAUCCAUUUGUGUAUAAGAAGUGAACUAUGCGCAGUGAGGUGUACAAUGAUAAGAGCUAGUAGAAUCUAGUAUCCAGAUUUGUCUCCUCCCUGUGUCUAGCCGACAAUAUCA